rnacentral:tRNA from 1 species
AGAUAUUUAGGUUAACACUAAACCAAGGGCCUUCAAAGUCCUAAAUAGGGAGUAAUU